UAGGUUUUCCCUGUUAGAACCCUGGGGUGGUUUCUGCUUCUUACUCUGGAUCUCACCUCUUCUAGUCCAGCCCCCAUCGUUCUGACACUCCUACUGACAAGGUCGCUGCCUGGAGAGAGAGACUACUACUUCUACUUCUGUCCCCACCCUGGCAAUCUUGUCCCACUAGAGCAUGGACCCACCUCAGAACCCUUCUGGACACAGUGGUUCAGGCCUGUACCAUUUGGCCCUGAGUCAGCAGGUGAGAUGCAACCAAUUUUCCAAUCUUUCCCUGAAGAGCAAGCUCCAUAUCCGAGACGGGAACACUGAGGCACAGAUGUGUUUCACACAAGCCUGAAGCCCCCCAGCAAACGCCUGGCAGAGCCCAGCUCUCCAGAUCUGGCCCUCUCUCCUCUCCGCGACUCUCUGCACCCUCCCAGCUGGCCAGCCUGAAACUGCCACCCCUCCAGAUGUCCCUUGCUGCACUCCAGACGCAAAAUGACAAUGAGACUUGAAGUUCCUGGCAGCCCUGGCAAGAAUCCGGGCAGGAGAAGGAGUGAGUGAGCGGGGCAGCAGCGGGGGAGCUGAGGGCCCGGCACACGCUGCUCUGCUUUCCCAGGCUCAGUGUCCUGCCGCACCAGCAUGAAACAGCAAGUCCAGCACAGGAGGAAAAUUCAGGGUUUCUUGUGCACAGGCUACCGGGCGUCACACAAGGACAUGAGGGGCAGCAUUACACACAGGGGGAGCCCCAGACACUCCACCUCCUCUAAGAGACAGAUGGACGCUUGGGACAGACGCUCCCCCGUCAUGCAGAAAGAGCGCAAAGGGGGUUAAAAGACUACUCUGGCCUCUCCCGUGUCCUGCUGAGAUAAAACCACCACUGGGAGACCCAGGACAAUUUUUAUAUAGGAUUAGAAAACAAAAAUCAAUAUUUAAUUAUCUGUAAGCUUUUUGUGUCACUGAAUCUUUAGCGCCCUAACAGGGAGCGCAGGCUGCCAGUGCAAAAGUAAGUCA